rnacentral:rRNA from 1 species
GACGAACCGUGCGAACGUUGUUCGGAAUCACUGGGCUUAAAGGGCUCGUAGGCGGGCGGGCAAGUCAGGGGUGAAAUCCCACGGCUCAACCGUGGAAGGGCCCUUGAUACUGCCCAUCUCGAGGGAGGUAGGGGCGUGCGGAACUUCCGGUGGAGCGGUGAAAUGCGUAGAUAUCGGAAGGAACACCGGUGGCGAAAGCGGCGCGCUGGACCUCUUCUGACGCUGAGGCGCGAAAGCCAGGGGAGCAAACGGG